GGUCCCGUGGUCUAGUGGUUAUGACGUCUCGUUUACACCGAGAAGAUCGCAGGUUCGAUUCCUGUCGGGACCA
rnacentral:tRNA from 1 species